AUGAUAAAAAAAAUAGGCGGGGUUUAUGGCUUUGUGGCUGUGGUAUCUAGUGACAACGGAUUAAUGAAGCCUAACCUCAAGUGCGUGUAUGUGUGUGUGUGUGUGUGUCUCUCACAGAGUGAUGUGAAGCAUUCAGUCUCAGACUUUUCAUUACUCAGCAGGCAGGAGGGAGAAUCUUCCGGUAAGAGACCGCCUCCUAGACACUGGAAACACACACACACACACACACACACACACACACACACACACACACACACACACACACACACACACACACACACACACACACANNNNNNNNNNUGUGUGUGUGUGUGUGUGUGUGUGUGUGUGUGUUAAAUAACCCUUUCUGUAACAGGUCAAGGGGUCAGAUCACUUACUGGCAGUCUGCGUGACACACUGGUGUGUCAGUGUGUGUGUGUGUAUGUGUGUGUGUGUGUGUGUGUGUGUGUGUGUGUGAUCUUAACCACCAACAUACACUUAACUGUCACCAGCUUGGCAUGGGCUCAAUCAGUUGGUGUCAUAUACUCACAGGUAAGAGAGAAAAGACAGCGAUAGAGAGGGAACGAGAGAGAGAGAGAGCAACCUCUUUUGUGUCUUUAACAAAGUAUUCAGAAAUGCUUUGAUCUCUAGACCCCUAUUCUGGAAACACACAAUGAUAUUGGCCCCGACCCUGACCCCGACCACGACCCUGACCACGACCACGACCGAGGCUGUCUCAGGGAGAGNNNNNNNNNNNNNNNNNNNNNNNNNNNNNNNNNACACACACACACACACACACACAAAGCCGGCAGGAAACUCAGGAUCCCAUCUCGAGCUCUUUCUCAGAAAUAGACUACAACAAAGUGGCUGCUCACUCAGUUACCUGCCUUGACGCCAUGUUGAUGUCAGAGCUAACUUUUCCUCAGCUAACAGAGAUGUUUUGGGCCAUAAGGCAAGAGCUUGUCACCUCCUUUUCUCUCACCUCGUCCUUUGUCACCCACUGUCCCUACUGUUUCUCAUUUCUGUAGAGGAGGUAGAUAUAUGACAUAUGCUCUCGUUCACUAACUGCUCUGACGAGAAAACAUAAGUGAGCCGAGGUGAGGUGAGCUCCAAACAGGAAUGAGGAUAAUGGAAAAAAGAAAGUCACAACUGCAAGUUUCUAAAAUCAGUUUUUGCCAAAAAAGCUGAACAUGCGCAUUCAAUCGCAUGCACGCACACCCACACACACACACACACACACACACACACCCUGAGUCACCCACACCUGGCCCUCUCAUCUUACAAAUGUAUGUAAUAAGCCCAUCCCCCCAUGUGUCUGUGUCUGUCAGUCAUUGGAGGCUUGAUGAGAGGAGAAAGGAAACAUUCAGACUGUGUUGGGACGAGGCCCUAGUUGACACUAGUACAGUCAGACAGAGGAGAGGAAAACACUAAUUACACGCAUGUGUACUGAGAAUGAAUGUGUCAUCCUCAGCAUUUGCGUGUGUUUCAUCAUAAUUCAACUGGAGGAGACUGUAACUGAAAUAUUUAUUUCCCAUCAGAAGGUCCCAUAUCAGUAGUUAUUCAGCAGGAGUCAUUCAUCAAACUAUUUCUUGUAGCAUUAUUAAUCCCACGUGCUUUACCUACGGUGUUAAGGGAUUGUCUAUGUAUUUGCUUGCUAACAUGACUAGCUAGCCAGCCAAACAGAAGUGUUGAUUGAUAGAUACAAUUCCAUCAUCGAUGUGGGAGACCCUGAUAUUUAACAUGUUGUCAGAUCUCUGGUUUGUUCCCCCUCUCGAUACCCAAUAGGGUGACCUCCCA
rnacentral:lncRNA from 13 species